rnacentral:sRNA from 1 species
AAAAAAAACGAAAAAAU